ACAAAAUGCAAGUAGGAUUUUCCGGUGAAAUGGCCAAAUACAGAUAAAAUAAAAUAAAAUAAAGCCCUUUUAACAUGAUUGAAACAAGAACGUUAGUCAGGGAAUGUGUACAAGGUAUAAAAUAUGAAGAAACAUUGUUUUCACAGAUUUAAAAAAAAAAAAGCCUUUCAAAAGGGGGACGAAAGAUACCAAAGGGACAGUCAAACUCAUAAAUCUAAAAUAAACUGACAACGCCAUGGCUAAAAAUGAAAAGGACAAACAGACAAACAAUAGAACACAUAGAAAACUAAAGAA
rnacentral:lncRNA from 1 species